rnacentral:rRNA from 1 species
GAUGAACGCUGGCGGCGUGCCUAAUACAUGCAAGUCGAGCGAACAGACGAGGAGCUUGCUCCUCUGACGUUAGCGGCGGACGGGUGAGUAACACGUGGAUAACCUACCUAUAAGGCUGGGAUAACUUCGGGAAACCGGAGCUAAUACCGGAUAAUAUAUUGAACCGCAUGGUUCAAUAGUGAAAGACGGUUUUGCUGUCACUUAUAGAUGGAUCCGCGCCGCAUUAGCUAGUUGGUAAGGUAACGGCUUACCAAGGCAACGAUGCGUAGCCGACCUGAGAGGGUGAUCGGCCACACUGGAACUGAGACACGGUCCAGACUCCUACGGGAGGCAGCAGUAGGGAAUCUUCCGCAAUGGGCGAAAGCCUGACGGAGCAACGCCGCGUGAAUGAUGAAGGUCUUCGGAUCGUAAAACUCUGUUAUUAGGGAAGAACAAAUGUGUAAGUAACUAUGCACGUCUUGACGGUACCUAAUCAGAAAGCCACGGCUAACUACGUG